AGAAGCUAACAGCCUUCUGUUUCCAAAUAGGAAUUCUGAAUUUGGUGGCAGUAGCUCAAACAGCUUGCUCAACAAUGACAUUCAUUGUUCAGUCCCGAACCAACUGGAGGGCUUCUUCUCUGAGAUACCCUAUGGUAACUUCCUUUUUUCUGCAAUUCAAAUUCAGAGAAGAAUCUUAGUUACAGUGCCUUUAUAUAGUUAUUCUAGCUUAUUGAAACACAAUGAAGUUUAGACAUCUGAACCAGAAACACAUUAAACUAUUCAAUUGCAUGUUACAUUUGAUAAUGUAUGUAGACAACAAUUUUCUUUAAUAAUUAUUUUAUUCGUUUUUUUCUACAUUGUGAAUACCUGGAACUGAUAUCCCUCACACAAGUUAUGUAGUAAGCAGCAUAGAGACAUGAUAACGAUUGUGAUGUUACAAACACAAACUCGAUUUCUUUUGACUGUUUAAACAAUAUCUUCUUGCAUCCAUUAUGAUUUCAGCAACUUAUUCCUAAGUCACUAAAAUUGCUUUUACAGGUGAUCCUUACCACAAUUAUAAUCUGAAUUAUGUGCCAAUAGCUGAAGCUGGGACCACAGCUAGUUUUACCAACUCUCUCCAAUCAGUACCAGCUGAAGCUGGUGCCACUGCUAGUUUUACCAACUCUCUCCAAUCAGUACCAGCUGAAGCUGAUGCCAC
rnacentral:lncRNA from 1 species